rnacentral:rRNA from 1 species
GAAAGAUGGUUUCGGCUAUCGCUUACAGAUGGGCCCGCGGUGCAUUAGCUAGUUGGUAGGGUAAUGGCCUACCAAGGCAACGAUGCAUAGCCGACCUGAGAGGGUGAUCGGCCACACUGGGACUGAGACACGGCCCAGACUCCUACGGGAGGCAGCAGUAGGGAAUCUUCCGCAAUGGACGAAAGUCUGACGGAGCAACGCCGCGUGUAUGAAGAAGGUUUUCGGAUCGUAAAGUACUGUUGUUAGAGAAGAACAAGGAUAAGAGUAACUGCUUGUCCCUUGACGGUAUCUAACCAGAAAGCCACGGCUAACUACGUGCCAGCAGCCGCGGUAAUACGUAGGUGGCAAGCGUUGUCCGGA